UUUUAACCGAAAAUACUUUUAAAACAGUUUAAAACAAACGGUAAAAAGCAAAAAUAUGCUAAAUUAUAUACAAUUUUCCAUGCUAAACUGCUGUAGUUUGAACAAUUCUCGGCCGUUUUUCAAGUUUUUUACAUCAUACGACUUCUUUCUGAAGGUACAGGUUUUAUAUGAUACAGCGCCACCUUCUUAUUAAUAAACCUCGGAUUUCACCCAGGUACUUUAUAAUUACCGGACUCGAUAAAAUCACGUGAUUGAUAAGAAAUUCCAGAUGCCAUUUUACAACCGCAGUAUCACAGAUAGUAACCAAAGGGGUCUUACCGCUGAGACUAUAAUUGGAUAAAAUCAUAUGACUUUAGUACAGGGCUCUGCAGGCCGUUCAUACAUGCUAAUUAGUCGAUGUUAUUCCUUUUAAAUAUUACUUCCAUGGUUGAA
rnacentral:lncRNA from 1 species